rnacentral:rRNA from 1 species
GACGAACGCUGGCGGCGUGCUUAACACAUGCAAGUCGAACGAUGAACUCCAGCUUGCUGGGGGGAUUAGUGGCGAACGGGUGAGUAACACGUGAGUAACCUGCCCUUGACUCUGGGAUAAGCGCUGGAAACGGCGUCUAAUACCGGAUACGAGCUUCAGCCGCAUGGCUAGGAGUUGGAAAGAAUUUUGGUCAAGGAUGGACUCGCGGCCUAUCAGUUAGUUGGUGAGGUAAUGGCUCACCAAGACGACGACGGGUAGCCGGCCUGAGAGGGUGACCGGCCACACUGGGACUGAGACACGGCCCAG